AGAAAUCAACCCGCAGUCCUUUCUUCUAUCUUAUCCAUACGUUCCUUUCCAGCGCGGCGGGCGGCGCCCUUCACGGCGGCGACAACUCCGAGUGGGCUCGCGGGAGACGGCGCUGGGCUUGGGAGAUGCGGCCGCGAGGGCGCCGCAUCAGUUCGCGGCAGCGAGGCGGGGAUGCGGCGCUGCGCUCCCGGGAUGCAGCAGCGAGGCGUCGAGGCAGCGCUGCGCUCGGGCGCGGCAUCAAGCGGCAGCAGCGAGGCGGGAGGCGCACAUGGAGAUGAAGGAGGAGAAAAUGGAGAGUCGGCCGGGGCGAGGAGUUCGCCGGCGUCGAAGCCACGGACCACGGCGCUGCAAGCUUGCAGGGGGCGGUGGCCAUGGCGGGGAGGCGGCGCUGAGCUCGGGAGCCGCAUGCCUCCUCUGCCGCUCCUUCUUUCUUUCUUCCCCAACUCCUCUCUUGCACGUCGUCGUCUUGCCGCCCACGCAGCAAAGAGGUCGAGGAAGAGGCGGGAGUCGGGUCAAUCGAUCUGUCGCACGAGGAUGCGGCACUCCCUGUUCCAUCUAGAUCAACGGGCGCAGAGGGAGGUGGAAGAAGAGCCACGACCUCUGAGCAGGAGGCUGUCGCCUAGCACGCAUCUGACUGCGGCUAUUUUAUCCAUGAGCUGGAGGAUAAGAGAAGUGCAUCUCUAAAAUUCAGAGUUUUGAACCUAAAGAGACGCAUCUAGACAAUGGUUGCAUGAGUGGUUCCAGUGUCAUAUACGCCAACAUGGUUGGAGAUUUGGGAUCGGAUGCUGCGCCAAGAAUGAGGGACCAAGGUACUGAACUAACAGCAGGGGCAGAAUGAUUCUUCAGGAUGAAUCAGAAACUGAAGAUGAUGAUCCCAUGGACACAGAAGAAGCUUCCUCUGUCCUCAUCGCUGCACUGCAGUCUUUCAGCCAAGCUCUGGUGUAUGACGACGAAGAAAAAGAUACCGUGAGUCCGUGACAGAGGUAGAUGUCUUCUUGCGUCCUACCCUAGAUGACGGGGGCUCUCUCAUCAGCAAAAUAGCUACUCUGGAUACGCAUAUGAUGAUCGCAAGAGACUGUACCUUAUGGAUAAGUAAAUGACUCUGAGGUCUACAUGUUAAGUAUAGAAAGAAAAGCCUGACGACGACAAGUGUACUGUCGGGAGCUUUGCUGCCACUUCUUUGCCAGCCGGAGUGGCCUGUUUUUAGUGAUGAUCAUGGUCUACAUGCGUGUAUAUGUUGUGUUCUGAUAGACUGUACUACAAGAUUUUCUUGGAAUUGGUACUUCUGUUUUUGUAUGCUAUGAAGAGCGUAUGUGUAUGCUGGUUCCGUGUA